UACGUAGGGUGCAAGCGUUGUCCGGAAUUAUUGGGCGUAAAGAGCUCGUAGGCGGUUUGUCGCGUCGUCCGUGAAAACCUGCAGCUCAACUGCAGGCUUGCGGGCGAUACGGGCAGGCUAGAGUUCGGUAGGGGAGACUGGAAUUCCUGGUGUAGCGGUGAAAUGCGCAGAUAUCAGGAGGAACACCGGUGGCGAAGGCGGGUCUCUGGGCCGAUACUGACGCUGAGGAGCGAAAGCGUGGGGAGCGAACAGG
rnacentral:rRNA from 1 species